CCAUGCCGUAAACGUUGGGCACUAGGUGUGGGUCUCAACUAACGAGAUCCGCGCCGUCGCUAACGCAUUAAGUGCCCCGCCUGGGGAGUACGGUCGCAAGACUAAAACUCAAAGGAAUUGACGGGGGCCCGCACAAGCAGCGGAGCGUGUUGCUUAAUUCGAUGCAACGCGAAGAACCUUACCUGGGUUUGACAGGUAGAGAAAAGCUCUAGAGAUAGGGUGUCCUUCGGGGCUCUACACAG
rnacentral:rRNA from 1 species